rnacentral:rRNA from 1 species
AGUAACACGUGGGGAACCUGCCCCAUAGUCUGGGAUACCACUUGGAAACAGGUGCUAAUACCGGAUAAGAAAGCGGAUCGCAUGAUCAGCUUUUAAAAGGCGGCGUAAGCUGUCGCUAUGGGAUGGCCCCGCGGUGCAUUAGCUAGUUGGUAAGGUAAAGGCUUACCAAGGCGAUGAUGCAUAGCCGAGUUGAGAGACCGAUCGGCCACAUUGGGACUGAGACACGGCCCAAACUCCUACGGGAGGCAGCAGGC